ensembl:lncRNA
GUUGUAUUGAGGUAGUGUUGUAUUGAGGUAGCGUUGUAUUGAGGUAGUGUUGUAUUGAGGUAGCGUUGUAUUGAGGUAGUGUUGUAUUGAGGUAGCGUUGUAUUGAGGUAGUGUAUUGAGGUAGUGUUGUAGUGUUGUAUUGAGGUAGUGUUGUAUUGAGGUAGUGUAUUGAGGUAGUGUUGUAUUGAGGUAGCGUUGUAUUGAUGCAGUGUUGUAUUGAGGUAGUGUUGUAUUGAGGUAGUAUUGAAUUGAGGUGGUGUUGUAUUGAGGUAGUGUUGUAUUGAGGUAGUGUUGUAGUGUUGUAUUGAGGUAGUGUUGUAUUG